rnacentral:rRNA from 1 species
GACGAACGCUGGCGGCGUGCUUAACACAUGCAAGUCGAACGGAAAGGCCCUGCUUUUGUGGGGUGCUCGAGUGGCGAACGGGUGAGUAACAGGUGAGUAACCUGCCCUUGACUUUGGGAUAACUUCAGGAAACUGGGGCUAAUACCGGAUAGGAGCUCCUGCAGCAUGGUGGGGGUGGGAAAGUUUCUGCGGUUGGGGAUGGACUCGCGGCUUAUCAGCUUGUUGGUGGGGUAGUGGCUUACCAAGGCUUUGACGGGUAGCCGGCCUGAGAGGGUGACCGGCCACCUUGGGCCUGCGAUACGGCCCAGACUCCUACGGGAGGCAACGGUGGGGAAUAUUGCACAAUGGGCGGAAGCCUGUUGCGGCGACGCCGCGUGCGGGAUGACGGCCUUCUGGUUGUAAACCGCUUUCGCCUGUGACGAAGCGGGAGUGACGGUAAUGGGUAAAGAAGCACCGGCUAACUACGUG